GAAGGCUACGCGCAGCGUCAGGCGAGGCGUGUGGAGACAUGUGUGCUGGAGUCAGAGCAGGUCCCCACCAGCUGCAACCUGUUCCAUAAUCAAGACCACUACAAAUACUCAGCCCUGCCAGUUCCACGCUGCCAAAUCUUCUGCCCGCUCUGACUCUAGUCCCUGUCGGCAGUCCCACGGCUCGUCAUCCUGCUACUCUGUCCUGGAUACCCCACUCUACUACUCCCUUGGAUUCCCCUCUGGACCUGCUUACCCUGUCCCAACCCCUCUCGCUCCAGCCUCAGCCUCCGCACCUGGUUUCCAGCAACCCGCCCGAGCUUCCCCUGACCUACACUACAUCUCCCCCCUGUGUUUCUGGGUUUGCUCUUGGGUUCCCCUGUUCCACUCUUUGUAACAUUUUCACAUUUAAGGUCAACUAGGGCUGUCAAAUAAGAAUAGAUGAAUAAUCGAGUUAAUCAAAGGUUUUGCUGUGAUUAAUCACAACUAAUCACAAAUGCAUAAUUAGCUC
ensembl:lncRNA